ensembl:misc_RNA Metazoa_SRP Metazoan signal recognition particle RNA
GCCGGGCAUGGUGGCUCAUGCCUAUAGUCCCAGCACUUUGGGAGGCUGAGUUGGGUGGAUCACUUGAGCCUAGGAGUUCAAGACCAGCCUGGGCAACAUGGUGAAGCCCCAUGUCUACAAAAAACACAGAAACUAGCUGGGUGUGGUGGCGCAUGCCUGUACUCCCAGCUACUCUGGAGGCUGAGGUGGGAGGAUCACUUGAGCCUAGGAGGUCAAAGCUGCAGUGAACCAAGAUCAUGUCACUGCACUCCAGCCUAGGCAAUAGAGUGAGACCCUACCUCA